GAUGAACGCUGGCGGCGUGCCUAACACAUGCAAGUCGAGCGAUUCUCUUCGGAGAAGAGCGGCGGACGGGUGAGUAACGCGUGGGUAACCUGCCCUGUACACACGGAUAACAUACCGAAAGGUAUGCUAAUACGAGAUAAUAUGCUUUUAUCGCAUGGUAGAAGUAUCAAAGCUCCGGCGGUACAGGAUGGACCCGCGUCUGAUUAGCUAGUUGGUAAGGUAACGGCUUACCAAGGCGACGAUCAGUAGCCGACCUGAGAGGGUGAUCGGCCACAUUGGAACUGAGACACGGUCCAAACUCCUACGGGAGGCAGCAGUGGGGAAUAUUGCACAAUGGGCGAAAGCCUGAUGCAGCAACGCCGCGUGAGCGAUGAAGGCCUUCGGGUCGUAAAGCUCUGUCCUCAAGGAAGAUAAUGACGGACUUGAGGAGGAAGCCCCGGCUAACUACGUGCCAGCCGCCGCAGUAACAC
rnacentral:rRNA from 1 species